rnacentral:lncRNA from 1 species
UUACAAAUUAACUAAGGCCUCCAAUGAUUGGGAAACUUGCUUCCUCUGAACCAAAGGAGCAGGAAGAGGCCUUGUAGGAUCUUUUUAUUCUCAUAGAAACUAACACCUGAAACUUCAACAUCGAAUGUUGUAAAUCACGAAUUCCUAGUUAUCAUGAAUUUUCUAUUAUUUCUUCAGGAAGUUGAUGUGAAGAUGUUCCAGAAUUAUGAGAGCUGGAAGAGUCUACAAAUACAGAAAACGUUCUGCUGUGGAAGUUACACCUUUAUCUUCUACCUUAGACCAUCCGGUCAAGAGUGGACUUAAAAGUGUGCCUGAAUUUCCCGGGUAACGGCAACGUGGUGGACUUGCCCGAGAAAGGUGGAAACAAUUGAGCUCUCCUGGGAAACUAGACAAAGUGCAAGAGGCUUCAUAGGAAGCAGAGUCGAAGGAGAGUUUCCCACACUGGGUGUGCCCUGAGGACCUAAGCACCAGCGUCUUCUCUGGCUUUCAUUCUAAUACUACUUCAGGCUGAAUCUUUCUCUUUACCCCAACUCAAAUUCAAAUUCCAUAGGAUGAAAGAAACUCUGAGUCCCUAACGUUGUAUGUAAAUUAUGUUCCCAGAAGAGUGUUUCUUAUUCAGUUGACAUCAUGGUUACGGGACAGGAGCCAUUCUCUCCAGCUGUUGGUUCUGUCUAGAAUGUUAUUCCUUUUUUCUUUCUCCUAGUAAAUUUCUGUUGGUUCU